rnacentral:rRNA from 1 species
CGGUCCAAACUCCUACGGGAGGCAGCAGUGGGGAAUAUUGCACAAUGGGCGAAAGCCUGAUGCAGCAACGCCGCGUGAGUGAUGAAGGCCUUCGGGUCGUAAAACUCUGUCCUCAAGGAAGAUAAUGACGGUACUUGAGGAGGAAGCCCCGGCUAACUACGUGCCAGCAGCCGCGGUAAGACGUAGGGGGCUAGCGUUAUCCGGAUUUACUGGGCGUAAAGGGUGCGUAGGCGGUCUUUCAAGUCAGGAGUGAAAGGCUACGGCUCAACCGUAGUAAGCUCUUGAAACUGGGAGACUUGAGUGCAGGAGAGGAGAGUGGAAUUCCUAGUGUAGCGGUGAAAUGCGUAGAUAUUAGGAGGAACACCAGUUGCGAAGGCGGCUCUCUGGACUGUAACUGACGCUGAGGCACGAAAGCGUGGGGAGCAAACAGGAUUAGAUACCCUGGUAGUCCACGCUGUAAACGAUGAGUACUAGGUGUCGGGGGUUACCCCC